AUGGAACAGGAAGUUGACGGUGGCAAAAACAUGGUGGCACAAGAGCACAACAAUGGCAGCCUCUCCCGUGCAAACCCGAAAAGGCUCCGAUCGAAGGCGUGGGAAGAUUUCACACCAAUCUACGUUGGCGGGAAGGUCGCGAAGGCUGAGUGCAUGCAUUGCCACCUGGUCUUCAAUAGCAACAGCACAAAUGGCACUAGCAACCUGCUUAAGCACCAAGCCAUGUGCGGCCCCCGGGCCCAGAAGAGGCCAAUGCAACGGAAGAGUACAGCAUCAGCUGGCUCUGAUCCGACACAGAAGAAGUUAUCGUUCUUUCCCACCAGCCAGAAGAAAUGCUUGGGCACAGCAGAUGCAAGGCCUGAGAAGAAGGAUCUUGUUUUGCUUCGCAGUGACACUAAUCGGAUGAGCCAAGAGGGUAAUCACAAUGGGUCUCACGAGGAACUUGGAUCGCCUGGGCAGAAUGAUCUUUCCUUGCCUGAUGUUCCCACCGACACGAAAACAAAGAGUCAACAAGUUGAUCAAAAUGGGUCUCAUGACGAACUAGCUACAGCUGAGCAGGAGAAUGAUGCCUUCCCUGACAAUCCCAUCAACAAGAAUGUAAAGAAUCAGUCCCAUGAGGAACUUGCAUUGCCUGAACACAAGGCCAUUCCUACAGCCACGAAACAGAAGAAUCAGGAUGUUGGUCAGGACGGAUCCCAUGGCGAGCUUGUUAGGAAAUUGGCCUUGCACGGUUACCUGCCCUUGAUGAUGGACCAUGGAGGACUCAGGAAGUCUGUGGAUUUCUUGAAUCCUGUGGUCAAGAUGCCAUCCUAUGCUGACUUGAUAUCUACAUUUUUGGAUUUGUUCGACAGUGAAAAGGCCAAGCUGAAGGAGAAGUUUGCAGCCCUUCGCAGUCGGGUAUGCUUGAGUGUUUACGUUUGGCACUAUGAUCCACUCUCGGCAUUCUUGUGCUUGAGUGUUCAUUACAUUGAUGAUGAAUGGGAGAGGCAACAAAAGAUCGUCACAUUUCGUGCCAUGGAUACUAUCUGCAAUGCAGAAGAACUGGGUGAAGCCAUAUUGCUGGCUAUCCGAGAUUGGGGUCUUUGUGGAAAAGUUUUUAGCAUUGUACUGGAUGAUGCAUUUAUUGAUGAUUCAGUGGCUUCAAGUGUCAAAGCACAGCUCAUGAAAGAUAACUCAACCUUUGCAAACCAGAGCCUGUUUGUGGUGCGUCGUGGAACUCAUUUACUUGAUCAGGUUAUUCAGGUGGGGCUGGAUGAACUUGAAAAAAUCAUGGAGAAAUCAGCGAACUGUUCUAAACCUAUGAUGGGUCCUAAGUCGUCUGCAGUGCGGUAUCCCAACUACAAAUACGCACCAUCUCAGGAAGACUGGGGCGAAGCGCGUAAGAUGUGUGAGACCUUGGAAGAGUUUCAUCAGUACAUGGACACAAGUCAGAGUCUUCGUGGUCCAGUCCACUUAUUUGAUGCAAUUAGGGAUGUGAAGCGUGAUUUGCGCCGCGGAGUUAAGAGCGAUGCGGAUGGAUCAUUUUCCAAUAUGCUAAAGAAGAUGCAGCAGAAGUUCAAGCAAUAUUGGAAACUCUGUUGCUUACAUUUAUGUAUGACUAUAGCCAUGGAUCCUUCAUACGGCCUGAAACACAUCAAGUCUAGGAGCGGUUACCUCUGUAAAAAUGACAAAGAUGGCUAUAAAAAGGAUGUCCAUGAUACAUUGCUAAGUCUCUUCUAUGAAUAUUCUGGUCAGGUGGAAGACGCCAGCUGCACUUCUGGGUCUAAAACUAGCAAGGAAACUGUUAUCACUGAAGAUGGUAUGAAUGAAGAUGAUGCACCAUUUGCAUGCUGUGGCGAUUAUGGAGACAAAUGUAAUAAAGGGCGGCCGAUGAUAGAACUUGACCAGUACUUGCAUGAGCCAAGCUACUGUAGAGGCCAGACGAGUGUUCUUCAGUGGUGGAAGGAACAUAACCUGACCUAUCCUACAAUUGCUCGAAUGGCACGUGAUAUAUUGGCUAUGCCGUACAGAUGCGACUACGAGGUAGCAACAAGGACUGCCGGACUUGCAAUUUGCGAGUCAGGUCAUAAGCACUGGGUUGAGCAGCUUGUCUGUACUCAAAAUUGGCUCGGACCAGACCGUUCUGCAAGCAAGGCCUCAGCCAAUGAUCUUUCCGACUGA
rnacentral:rRNA from 1 species